CGCCCCAUGUUUCGGAAUUUUAUAUGAAUGGACCCAGACACAAUGCAUUAUGGUCUAGCCAGCUCUUUUUGCUCAAUGUUUGUAUGCAAUGUUUGUUCUUUUUCAUUGCUGUAUACUGUUCCACCAUCUGAGUCAUUCACAAUUAUCUGUUCCACUAUUGAGAAACAUUUGGAUUAUUUAUGGAUUUGGGUUAUGAUGAAUAAUGAUGUCCUGAUCAUUUUAACAGGUAUUUCGUUCUAUAUAUGCAUCCAUUUCUGUAUAUUUGGGAAUGGAGUUGUUAGAAUCAUAGGGUAUGGGUAUGCUCAGCUGUAGUAAGAACUGUUUAGUAGAAAGGAUUUUGCAAAACCAUGUGCCAUGCCUUGGCCUUGAUAUUAUGGCACCAGCCCCCCUCCACACCACAGGGGCCCAGGAACUCACCACAAACCAGUCAUCACCCACAGCCUCCUGUCUCAGGCAUCUUGUUGGACCACUCAGCCUCUUACCCACUUCGACAUGUGGCUCUCCCUAUUCAUCUACUCUUGCGCCCUGACCUUUAUGAACUCUGGCUCCCUAUGACCAUUUCAGGCCUUCCUUGCUUCAAUGACCCCUUUGUAUCUGCUUCUGUGACUCACCGACCAAUUAAACGCUUGACUACACUCCAUCCCAAUCACAGAGUUCUGGUGUGGCCUCCACAGAGCUCAUUCAGGCCAGCCCCAGCUCCUGGCCUGUGUGUUAAGAGUGGGUAAAGCGAUCGGAAGUAGAGCUUUGCCAUCCCAAGAAGACAAGCAAGUGAACUGUAAGACAGGCAGAUCAAUGAAAUUGGCUUUUUUCUUUAUUAAUGGGCCCAAUUUGUCCUGGGUUAGUGGCUAUUUACAAAAUUUCAAGAUGCCCAGCCCUUUGAACUUCCCUGUGUCCCGACCAGACUUCCUUGCUAUGGUGAAUGCGUGUGCGUGUGCACGCGUGCGUGUGUGCAUGGGCACGUGUGUGAUGUGUCUCUGUCUCCCAGCGUCUGUGACUUGCAUGUCUGCAAGCAAAUGCUUGCACCCAGAAGGAGGGUGUGAUGAAAUGCUGUCACGUGGCUAGCCACGGGCAGUGAGUCAAUGAGCUCCCCCACAGCCACCUCACUGGAGUGGAGGGAACCGGAACCACCACACUUGGCAACUUGGGCUGUGUCCACAUGGUUGGAAACAAUCUGUGAAGUGAGUCAGAUCCAUUGAGAAAACAAUUAAGUCAGUGGGAAAAGAAAAUCAGUAGGCCGGGUUAUUUGGCAUGGUGAAAGAAAGCAGCCCAUUGUUUGUUCGCAUUUGUCCCUUUCCAGCUGGUCAUUGUGACACUAGCUGAUGCUGGGCUUGCCUACACAAGUGCUUUUAACAGUUUGACCCAGACUCUGUCUACACAGCUCUAAAACCACCCAGCGAGCUUGUCCAGAGUCAAAGAAUCAACUAUCUGCCUCACUAGUAGUUCUGUCCUCAGGACUCUUUUAUGGGGAUCCCACUGAAAAUGAUGGCAGACAUUUUGGGGCAAGAUAGGACUUUGGGGCUGCUCCACCACUUCUGCUUGGUGUAGUGGAAAGAGCGCUGGACCCAGGCAGACGUAAGUUCAAAUCCCGGCAAUGACCACCCACCAGCUGUCCAACCACAGACGAUGUGCUUCCAUUCUUCCAGUGUCCUUUUUUGUACCUGGAAGAUGGGGAAUCAUUUCUACUACCCGUAAGAUGAGAAGAAAACGAAGCUGGAGAGGUUAAGGGAAUUGCUCAAAGUAACAGCUAGUAAACGGCAGAACUGAGACUUCAUUUAUUUUACAAACAUUAUUGAACACCUACUAUAUGCCAGUGCCUCAGGCAUAGGAAAGUGGAUAAGUCCUAAUUCUAGUUCUCGAAAUGUUCACAGUAGAGUGCCAGAGCCUGAAACGCAAAUAAUCAAUUACAGUCUAGUGUGAUGUGAAAAGCAAGACGUAUUUAGGGAAUGUCCUAAAGCCAGGGGUGAGCCCAGGUAUCGACACAGGAAGUGAGUCUUAAGAAGAGGACCCUUCAGAGGAAGCAGCCACGGAGUUCAAGCUGGAAUGUACAUCAGCAGGCGGACGCUGCAGCCAAGAGGGGAUUCGAGGGACAGGCCAUGAACAACAAGGAAAGACUGAAAAAGUGUCACAGACCAGCAGCUAUGGAGACUUGAUGAUCAAACGUUAUGUGGAUCGUGGACGGGAUUCUGGAACAGAAAAAGAAAGGGUAUUACUGAAAUCUAAAUAAAGUCUGGAGGUGCAAAAUGAAGGAGCUGCCUUUCUUAAGCAUCUCUUCCCCAGGCUAGUAUUCCAGGUUCUACGUGUGCAACAGUCACCCCUAAAAGGUGUGCCCACCCUCAUUCCUCUUUUCCAUCCCUUCCCCAACCACCACCAGCUCCUCGGGUCAGACAGCUCAACUAGAGGCUACAGAAUAUUCAGGAAGGGGCCAGCCUUGGCUUUGCAUUUUCAGGCUUCCUCACACGACAGCUCAAAUCAGACCCCCUACCCCAGCCCCCUUACCGGCAGGAGGGGAAAUAUGAAAUCUCAGCAGGCAAGGAGGUUUUUUAUGCUUCUGUAAAUCAUUAAAGUGGCCAAUAUUUCCCUUUGCUGCA